CUAGCGCAACACGAGGCUUCACCGAUCGUUGAUGAGACAUACUCGAGGCAUUUAGGGUUGGGAGAAGUGCCUUCAUGGCUUGAAAUUUGGGUCUUGACAAGUUGACAGUGCAACUGAAUUUUGUUUCUUCGUAGCCCAUGACAAGCAUGAUCCUAAUAAGUGUGCCAUUCUAGAAGUGCUCUUUCUAUCCACCAGGUAUCCAACGUAAUCAGCAUUAGCAUACCCUAUUAAUUCAAAAUUUUCGCCCGCUGGAUACCAAAGGACCAGUUCUUAUGUGCCUUUUACAUAUCAUAGAAUUCUCUUCACAGCUUUCAUAUGUGAUUCUUUUGGACAUGAUUGAAACAUGGCACACAGUCACGCACUAAACACAAUGUUGGAUCUGCUUGUAGUUAGAUAUAGUAGGGACUCAAUCAUACCUCUGUGCUUCUUUUCUUUAGUGGGCCUGCUUCAUCCUUGUCUACUCGAGUGGUGGUGGCUAUUGGGGUAUCAAAGGGCUUUAUGUUUUCCUUUCCGUAUCAAAUCUCUUUAAGAGUGCCUUGAUAACUUCUGCUAAUGAAUUCUUGUGCCCUCCUUGGUCUGCUUUACUUGUAAUCCCAGGAAGAAAUUUAGGUCUCCCAUUAUGCUCAUCUCAAAUUCACUUUUCAUAAGUCUAGCAAACUCAUUACAUAACUGUUCGUUUGUGACACCAAAUAAGAUAUCAUCCACAUACACUUGACAAUCUUUUAUACCACGCUCUUAGUGCCUGUUUCAACCAGUAUAGUGCCUUAUCUAGCUUGUAAACAUGAUUUGGGUACUCAUGACUCUCAAAUCCUGGAGGUUGUUGCACAUACACCUCUUCCUUUAAGUAUCCAUUUAAGAAAGCACUCUUGGCAUUUAUUUGAUAGAGUUUGAACUUCUUACAAGCAACGAGCGUGCGAAUUACUUCCAUUCUAGCUACUAGUGCAAAGGUUUCGUUAAAGUCAAUUCCUUCGUCGUAUAUUAUAACCCUGUACUACCAGUCUUGACUUGUUCCUUGUCAUUGUACCCUGAUCAUCUAGUUUAUUUUUGAAUACCCAUCUAGUCUCAAUAACUGUUUUAUCUUUGGGCUUAGGUUCUAGAUGCAAUACCUUGUUUCUUUCAAAUUGAUGAAGCUCUUCCUGAAUUGCUAUGAUCCUAUCUGCAUCAAGUAGAGCAUCCUUGAUAUUGUUUGGCGCAAUCGUUAAUAAGAAGGCGAAGAAGGCACAUAGAUUUCUGGCCUUUGAUCUUGUUGUGACGCCAAAGUCUAUGGAGGAGAUUAUGUUUUCAACUGGGUGUGCUCCCUUGUACUUCUUGUUAUUUCCUUGAAUGACCGACGAACCACGUUCUGAUAUUUAAAUUUUGGUGGCUUUAUAAAUCCUGGAAGAAUUUUGCCAAAUUCCUGCAGCAAUUUUAGUGGGGGGCUUAAAUUCUUUAAGGACGGUGACUACACUAUCAAAGCCAAUUUUGAAAUUCCUGCAAUUUUUCUAACAACUUCUUUGUAUUUGAGGUAGUUAAAGAACUAUGACUUCAGAGGGUAGAAAUUCAUACGGCUUCAAAAGUAUGUUUAUAACUAUUAAUGGUAAGGAUUAGUCAUUAUACCUUGUCAUUGUCUUUUUAGUGACAACACCUAUAAUGACAAGUGGAGAUUAGAUUUUUGUAUCACUAUUAAUAUUAUUGGUCGCUAUGAUCCAUUUUUCUUGUAGCGUUAAUAACAUUUUUCCUAGAGGUUGUUUUGAUCAUAUAGUUUAUGAUCUCUUAA